rnacentral:lncRNA from 1 species
UAUAAGCCAAAGCGAUAAGAACAACUAGGAAAUAAAUAUGAAUACUAUUCAACCAUGAUAUCUCUACUUAGCAUGAUUUGCAUAAGUAAGAAGGCAAUUACUACAAGUAUGUGCACAAGAGUAUCCAACAUGCAAAUGCAUAAGUAUGCAACUAAUCCAAUGUCCACAAUGUAAAUAGUAAAGAUGUCAUUGUUUACUAUUCUAGUCAAUGUCCACUUGUCACUUUAAUUAUUUACAGUUCAACUUUGAUAAGACCCACCCGAAGGCUGUCUGGCAU